rnacentral:rRNA from 1 species
CUCUGUGACUCCUACGGGAGGCAGCAGGUGGGAAUAUUGCACAAGUGGGGGAAACCCUGAUGCAGCCAUGCCGCGUGUGUGUAAGAAGGCCUUCGGGUUGUAAAGCACUUUCAGUAGGGAGGAAGGUAGUGUAGUUAACACCUGCAUUAUUUGACGUUACCUACAGAAGAAGCACCGGCUAACUCCGUGCCAGCAGCCGCGGUAAUACGGAGGGUGCGAGCGUUAAUCGGAAUUACUGGGCGUAAAGCGCAUGCAGGCGGCCUGUUAAGUCAGAUGUGAAAGCCCGGGGCUUAACCUCGGAAUUGCAUUUGAAACUGGCAGGCUAGAGUCUUGUAGAGGGGGUAGAAUUUCAGGUGUAGCGGUGAAAUGCGUAGAGAUCUGAAGGAAUACCAGUGGCGAAGGCGGCCCCCCUGGACAAAGACUGACGCUCAGAUGCGAAAGCGUGGGGAGCAAACAGGAUUAGAUACCCUGGUAA